rnacentral:misc_RNA from 1 species
UGGCUCUCGCAUCGAUGAAGAACGCAGCGAAAUGCGAUAAGUAAUGUGAAUUGCAGAAUUCAGUGAAUCAUCGAAUCUUUGAACGCACCUUGCGCUCCCUGGUAUUCCUAGGAGCAUGCCUGUUUGAGUGUCGUGAACAUAUCAACCCCAUAAAGAUUUUGGUCUCUAUGGUGGCUUGGAUUUGGGGGCUUGCUGGCCAUUAAUUUGGUCGGCUCUCCUUAAAUGCAUUAGCUUUGGACUUGUUCUGUAGGCUGCUUGGCGUGAUAAUUAUCUACGCUUUGCAAUCGUCUGUGGAAUAUUAUGGGUCUAGCUUCUAAUCGUCCUCUGGACAAUCUUCAUUCAUUUUGACCUCAAAUCAGGUAGGACUACCCGCUGA